rnacentral:rRNA from 1 species
UCCUACGGGAGGCAGCAGCCGCGGUACGGGAGGCAGCAUCGUCCUACGGGAGGCAGCAGCCGCGGUAUGUGCCAGCAGCCGCGGUA